rfam:Schistosoma margrebowiei strain Zambia genome assembly, scaffold: SMRZ_scaffold0000020
ACCUUGCUGACGAGUGCCAAGUAGUACGAAACCCGGGUCUAGGGU